UCUUAGACACCUCUACCCCAACAGAACACGACCUGAUAUAACAUGAAUUUGGAUAUAACGCGGUAAAGCAGUGCUACAGGGGGGCAGGGCAG